rnacentral:tRNA from 1 species
CAGGAAUUAGUUUAUUUAAAAAUAAUAAUUUUGGAGAUUAUAGAAAGGAGAAAUUUCUAUUCCUGA